ACUUAUUUAAAUAGAUUUUUUAAAAUGUUGUGUUCAUGUUACUUAAAAAAUUUAUAUAUAAAUAGCAUACACAUCAAAUACCACCUGAUUCAAAUGGAGAUCUUUUCAAAAUUUCUGAUGUGUGUGAAGGAUCGCGAAUCACUGUUGGUGUAGAACAUAUCAAAAUAGUACAUUUCAAAAUGAUUAGCAGAAGAUAUGUGUGUUUGUUUCUUCUAAGGAGAACUUAUCUCUGGAAAUUUAUUUCUCAAUAGAAUGAAUCGUUGAAAGUAUAGGAUUGAUAAAAAAAAUAACAGCAUGGUAUCAAACGAAGAAGAAAACUUUCUUCGUAUUGUUUAUCUGAACUACAGAGUAGCCACUGUAGCACUCACAAGAUUUUUUGAUAAACUACAUCCACAUUUAUCAGCUGAUUUACAUAUCCCAGGAAACAAGGCUAUAUUGCAGCAGCUGUAUAAUCCCCUUCCUUGAAGAAAACGAGUUAUCUAUACAGGACAAUGGAAUAUUCUGUAUCCUCCACCAGGGGCACCAGCAGUAACCUCGGCAGAUCUAGACUUGACAUUAAUUGUUUGUCUACUUCGUAACUUACCUCCAGUGGUGGUAGCUCCUGUGAAUGGAUUUGACCUGCUGCCUAAUCCUAAUGAAAUAAGUGACGGGGCAAACAUUGCACGCUUAAAAUUUUAUAAAAACUUUCUGGUGUCGCAUUCGGAGGAUGGUACACUAUCCAAUGUAGACUAUGUGGGUAUCUGGAAUACAUUAGAGCAGGCUAUUAACGGUCUUGACAAUUCACAACCUACUGCUGCAAGUUUAAAGGAUGCAAAAACAAAGAUACUGGAUAACUCAAUGGCCCAAAUGUUGUCAACCCAAAUACAACUCAACACAAAGGUUUCUAGUCUUCAAGAUGAGUUAGAACAGAUGACUGAAAAUAUAGAAGAAAAAAUAAAAAUAACAGAAAGUAAUUUAGGAAAGGAGAUUAAAGAAAGUAAUGAAAACAUACAUAUUUUAUAUGAACGACUGAAUACAAAGGCAGAACAAAGGGCUGAAAGAGAUUUAACAGAAUUUCAGAAUUGGCAACAGCUUCUUGCUUCAAAAUUCACUAGUAUGGAAACCAUUGUCAAGGAAAGUGAGAAGAAGAAACAAGCAUUAGAAAAAAAUGUGAGUUCAUUUUGCAGUCGGAUUCAAGAUUUUGUCGGCAAACAUAAAGAAAGAAUAGAAGCACUUGAACACACAUCUGACGGUUUUGAUGAAACACUUCACGAAGUACAGAAAUAUGUUGACAGCGUAAGAGCGACCACAGAAUGCAUAACGGCAGAAAUUUAAAAAAAAGAUGACGAUCAUAUUCCGAAGAAUAUUCGAGGUAUGCUUAUUUUCUUAAUCGUCAUGAAACCUCAUUGUAAAUAAUAUGAUUUUUUUCUGUCAUGAAUUAUCUCAAUAUCAUAACACCGACAAUUUUGACCAAAUGCAAUCAUCAUUUAUCGUGUUUAAUUUGUGAACUGUAUACUGCAUAUUCUGUUCUACAGACUAACUAGCUUUUUUCCUUUUAUACAAACAGAAGGAAGCUAUAGAAGCAUCAUUGAUUUUCAUGCGCGCCUUUAUAAAUAGGAUAUACUAUGUAGAUUUAUCGUUGAAAAUGAUCAAUUUCUAUAAUACCAAAAAAAAAAAUAGAAUUACUGGGACAGUAAGUUGAUAUUCCACACAUUUGUUAUACAGAUGAUUGAGCAGCAAUAUAUAUUAUAGUGAAAUACGGUGUUACGUAGACGUUAACUAAGCGUCUUUUUUUAAAACUGUCACUCGCCUAAAUUUUACAUGAAUUUUCAAAUUGUGUAUGCGAGCGCCCUUGUUGUUUCUGGUUCUUUUCGAGUGGUUGAAGUCUUAUAAAUAUGAUAUGUUGCGAUUGUUUCUACCGAAAUGUUAAUACAUUAUACUUUGAAUUUCUUAGGUUUUCGGAAGCGGUAUAGAUGUUCCUGUGCUCGUUUAAAAUUUUCCCGUCCUGUGUGUCCCACAUAUCGUAUACCACACUUUGGCCUUGUUCAAGUAACCAGAUAAACGAGGCUUUGGGUUUUUCAUUUAAUGGCACAGGAAAAGUAAAGCAAAACAGCUCUCCAGUUCACUGUUGACCGAACAGUAUUAUUAGAAGAGAAAAAAAUAUAUUUGCUAUAUCUUUGUAAAGCUCUGAGAUAGAUUUUGGACUGUCAUCUUUCUUUCCACAAAGGACUUUUGUUAAAUUUUUGAGGCAAUUGUUUGGCAAAAGGCAUAGUCAUUUAUAUGAAUAAAAUAAACAUGAUGUCACAAACGAGUUCUUAUUUUUUUUUUGGAGAUUUCUGAUUUUUCUUGUUAUCUAUUCUGAUGGCUUUAACUCCUUCUAUUAUAUGUUUUCUAAAAAACCUUACUAAUUCAUCAACUUUAAGCACUGUUACGUUGUUAUCUUCCCCAAACGGAAGUUCUUGUAAAUUUUUACUAUCAUUAGCAUUUGAUGAUCUGAAACAAAAACACAUUUUUCCUUGAGUUAUAGGGAAUCGUGAACAGUAAAGAGCUUGAUAUAUCUAAAAGUCAAAUGUCACUUGUUGAAAACUGUAUUUUGACAUUAAAAUUGUAGUUUAUUUUGUGUAUAUUUUUUCUCAUGUUAUAUAUCAACGUUUCUACAAAUAUCAACCCCCCCUGGGAUUGCUUUGAGCGCAGAGGGUCUAGGUUCCAAUCCCUAGUCGAGUCAAAAUUUGUAUAUGAAGCUAUUAGUGACGUCUUUGCUUAGCAUGAUGCACUUAUAUAAUUUUGAGAAAGAGAAAAUACUUCGUGUCUUAUUUCAGAAUAAUAUGUCUGGGUAGAGUGGUACGUAUUCCUGUGGACUAUUACCUUGUGAAAUAGUUCGUUAAAAAUUUGGCUCAGUCAAAUAGUUUUGUACAAGAUUGGAUUCAUAUUCAUAUCACAUUAUCAUGUUUUUGUUUUAUUUUAUCAUGAAAGGACCACAAAGUCUAUUAUUUUAUUUUAU